rnacentral:tRNA from 1 species
GGGGAUUUAGCUCAGCAGCAUAAAGCAUCUGCCUUGCAAGCAGGUGGUCGUGAGUUCGAUCCCCG